rnacentral:tRNA from 1 species
GAGGGUAUAGCUCAGUGGUAGAGUGUGUGCUUAGCAUGCACAAGGUCCUGGGUUCAAAUCCCUAGUACUUCCA